CCCUUCGGGGGUACACGAGUGGCGAACGGGUGAGUAACACGUGGGUGAUCUGCCCUGCACUCUGGGAUAAGCCUGGGAAACUGGGUCUAAUACCGGAUAUGAGCUCCUGUCGCAUGGCGGGGGUUGGAAAGGUUUACUGGUGCAGGAUGGGCCCGCGGCCUAUCAGCUUGUUGGUGGGGUAAUGGCCUACCAAGGCGACGACGGGUAGCCGGCCUGAGAGGGCGACCGGCCACACUGGGACUGAGACACGGCCCAGACUCCUACGGGAGGCAGCAGUGGGGAAUAUUGCACAAUGGGCGAAAGCCUGAUGCAGCGACGCCGCGUGAGGGAUGACGGCCUUCGGGUUGUAAACCUCUUUCAGCAGGGACGAAGCGAGAGUGACGGUACCUGCAGAAGAAGCACCGGCCAACUACGUGCCAGCAGCCGCGGUAAUACGUARGGUGCGAGCGUUGUCCGGAAUUACUGGGCGUAAAGAGCUCGUAGGCGGUUUGUCGCGUCGUCCGUGAAAACUUGGGGCUCAACCCCAAGCUUGCGGGCGAUACGGGCAGACUUGAGUACUGCAGGGGAGACUGGAAUUCCUGGUGUAGCGGUGAAAUGCGCAGAUAUCAGGAGGAACACCGGUGGCGAAGGCGGGUCUCUGGGCAGUAACUGACGCUGAGGAGCGAAAGCGUGGGUAGCGAACAGGAUUAGAUACCCUGGUAGUCCACGCCGUAAACGGUGGGCGCUAGGUGUGGGUUUCCUUCCACGGGAUCCGUGCCGUAGCUAACGCAUUAAGCGCCCCGCCUGGGGAGUACGGCCGCAAGGCUAAAACUCAAAGGAAUUGACGGGGGCCCGCACAAGCGGCGGAGCAUGUGGAUUAAUUCGAUGCAACGCGAAGAACCUUACCUGGGUUUGACAUAUACCGGAAACCCGUAGAGAUACGGCCCCCCUUGUGGUCGGUAUACAGGUGGUGCAUGGCUGUCGUCAGCUGGUGUCGUGAGAUGUUGGGUUAAGUCCCGCAACGAGCGCAACCCUUGUCCUGUGUUGCCAGCGCGUAAUGGCGGGGACUCGCAGGAGACUGCCGGGGUCAACUCGGAGGAAGGUGGGGAGGACGUCAAGUCAUCAUGCCCCUUAUGUCCAGGGCUUCACACAUGCUACAAUGGCCGGUACAGAGGGCUGCGAUACCGUGAGGUGGAGCGAAUCCCUUAAAGCCGGUCUCAGUUCGGAUCGGGGUCUGCA
rnacentral:rRNA from 2 species